AUACGAAGGGAGCUAGCGUUGUUCGGAAUUACUGGGCGUAAAGCGCACGUAGGCGGAUUUGUUAGUCAGGGGUGAAAUCCCGGGGCCCAACCUCGGAACUGCCUUUGAUACUGCAAGUCUGGAGUCCGGAAGAGGUGGGUGGAAUUCCUAGUGUAGAGGUGAAAUUCGUAGAUAUUAGGAAGAACACCGGUGGCGAAGGCGGCCCACUGGUCCGGUACUGACGCUGAGGUGCGAAAGCGUGGGGAGCAAACAGGAUUAGAAACCCGAGUAGUCC
rnacentral:rRNA from 1 species